CCAUCUAAAUGCCAUUCCAAAUCGAAUGAUACCUCAAUCAUAAUUUUCGGAGACUGCUGAAAAAAGUUGACCAAAAAGGCACUUGUUGACUAGACUAUUUUAGGUUCUAAGAUUGGAAUCUACCAACCA